rnacentral:tRNA from 3 species
GCCGAAGUGGUGAAAUGGUAGACACGCCGCACUCAAAAUGCGGUGGGGGCAACCCCAUGUCGGUUCAAGUCCGACCUUCGGUA